GACGGAGGAUGCAAGCGUUAUCCGGAAUGAUUGGGCGUAAAGCGUCUGCAGGUGGCAGUUCAAGUCUGCUGUCAAAGACCGGGGCUUAACUUCGGAAAGGCAGUGGAAACUGAACAGCUAGAGUAUGGUAGGGGCAGAGGGAAUUCCUGGUGUAGCGGUGAAAUGCGUAGAGAUCCGGAAGAACACCGGUGGCGAAGGCGGCCCGCUGGGCAGGAAGACACCGCAAGGUGUCGGCUGACGCUGAGGCGCGACAGCGUGGGGAGCAAACAGG
rnacentral:rRNA from 1 species